ensembl:lncRNA
ACUGUUCCCGUCCAGGUGGAUGAACACACACGCUCAUACAUGGAAGCCACUGAGAAUCUUAGACACACACACAAACGUGAAGUUAAACCCUAAAGGCACACACAAACUUGAAUUCUAAAGAGUCACACAUGCACACGUGCAUGCACACAAAUACACACACAUACGCACGCACGCACUCACACACACAAACACAUCGUAAGGGCACACACCAACAGAUACACACAAAUGUGACCGGAUUCAGGAAGGUGGGCGUUUGGCGCUAGUUCCUACAUCACAGUAGGGAAAAUUUAGAAAAAAAGCUGUUGUAUAGCACACUGUAUUACUUAUACAACUAAUAUAUGGACAGGAAAUUAGACGGGAGUAGAAAUUAACGUAGGCAUUGUUUAAUGCAUUUCACAGGAAGAAUGUUCCAAGCAUUUCAGUGUAGGUAAGCAAGGGGGGUUACAGGUGCACUAAAGGGACAAAACUAGAUCAAUACACAACAUAUUCCUCCCCCUUUUGAUGACUCAGAAGGAAAAAGGAAAUAUUCACUGUUUUGCCUCGUGUUUUCUUUUUAAUAAUAAUAAGUUCUCUUAAUGUAAAUAAAUGAACUUUUCAGAAUAACCUUUACUGAACUAGGGAAAUUGGGUAGACUGCCUCAGUUCCCAGACUUAACCCUGGGGUGUAUUCUGCCACAAUGUCGGGGGUAGUCUGAACUAAAUAGUCAACCUGUCAGGGGGUCGUCUUUCUCUUGCAGGGUAAUGACGACAUACAGGUGAGUUUACAGUCACACUGUCUCUGAGUCUGAGUGGUGAUGGUGUAUGCCCAGACUGGGGUGUAACAGUCCCCUGAGUAGGCACUCUGGCUGGUUCAGGUGAGUCUGGAGCACCUUCCACAUUUGUGUGUUGCUGCAGUGGAUGCUCAGGUGAUGGCUCAUAGUCAUGGUAGGUCUCCAGUUGCUGAUCUUGGUUUGUCAUUUGACAGGAGUCUUCUCUGAGGUUGGUUCCUGGCAACAGUUGAUCCACGUGUCUCCACCAGAUUAUGUUUUCCAGUGUGUGAACUGUGUAGGACACAGGCCCUGUUUGUGCAGCCACUGUGGCUGGUAUCCACUUUGGACCUUUGCAGUAGUUCCGAGCAAAGACUCUCUCCAGCUAUGAAGCUUCUGUCUCUUGCUUUGCUCCGUCUCUCCACCUGUGCUCUCUGUUGAGUCUGUAAAAUCGAAUUAGUCUUUGGAGGUCUCAGGAGGUCGAGUAGCGUGCGAAGCUGUAUUUUCAUCAUGGCUGACGCGGGUGCCACUUUGGUUGUAGCGUGGGGAGUGUUUCUGUAGGUUAACAGGAAGGUGUUUUUAGGCGCUUAUUGAGGGAGCCGUUCCCUUGUGAUGAUUUUAAAGUUUGCUUCAUCGUUUGGACAAACCUUUCAGCGAGGCCGUUCGUUGGAGGGUGAUACGGCGCUGACUUGAUGUACUGAAUUCUAUUUGCUUCCAUGAAUGAACAGAACUCUUCAGACACCAGUUGGUGGCCAUUAUUGCUAAUGAGUUGCGUUGGCAAGCCGAAGUGACUGAAGAUUGACCGUAGCUCUUCGAUGGUUCUCUCCGCUGAGGUGCUCUUCAUCACUGUGACCGCCGGCCAUUUGCUGUGUGCGUCAACUACGACUAAGAACAUACGGUCAUCCAGUGGGCCUUCAUAGUCUAUGUGGACUCGUUGCCAAGGCUCCUCUGGGAAGUCCCAUGGUUGUAGUGGUACUAGCUGAGGCAUGUUCCUCAUCUUUUGACAUGCAGAACAUGACUUGACCUUGUCUUCGAUAGCUACGUCCAAACUUGGCCACCAAAAGUAGCUGGGUGCAAUCUUCUUCAUUCGCACCAUGCCACAGUGCCCUGAAUGGAGUUCUUUAAGCACUUGCCUCAAUGGUGGCGGUAUGAUGACUCGAGAACCCCAUAGCAAGCAUCCAAACUGAACUGUGAGCUCGUUUCUCCUCACUAGGUAAGGUUGUAGGUUGUCUGACAGCACUCCUUUUCCACGAGUGACCAUGUCCAGGACCUCAGACAUCACUGGAUCAGUGCGGGAAUACCUUUUCAUUUGGACAGAAGUAACUGGGGCGUCCGUCACUUCCUUGAAGUAGAAGAUUUCAGCCUGGGAGUGCUCAGUGUGUGUGACAGCUGGCUGCAAGCAACGGAAUGUCGGUGUGGGACCAAAGAUGGAGGUGAGGUGUUUAUGGUCCGUCAGCAGUGUGAAUCGUCGGCCAAACAGAAACGGAUGAAAUUUCUUAACUCCAAACACAAUGGACUAGAAUAUUCUCUGCCUCCAGCCAAAUUGGAUUUGAUGACAACGCAAAGACCAUCAAUAACCUACAGAACCUGAGACAAAUAUGGUCAACAGUAUUAAGACAUGGAAUGCAUUGAAUGGCCAGUGAGUGGAAAACCCUCCUCACACCUAGAACUUGUUUAUUCAUCAAAACCCAGCCCUUUCGCACAACCGCCAGACUCUGUUCAUAAUUCCAGCUGUGAAAAUAGCAACAAAUAUUUCACACCCCCGGACCUAUAGCGCUAACACCAGUGUUUAGAUUUACUAUUGUGUAGGUUUGUUAAAAAAGAGUCUCUGGGAUGUGUUAUAUAAUGAAUUAGAUAACUGUGUUGAGCCCCCUUUUUUCAAUUUUCGCCUAAAAUGACAUACCAAAUCUAACUGUGUCACGUUCUGACCUUAGAUCUUUUAUUUAGGUCUUUGUUUUAGUAUGGUCAGGGCGUGAGUUGGGUGGGUUGUCUAUGUUUGUUUUUCUAUGUUGUUUUUUGAGUUUGGCCUGGUAUGGUUCUCAAUCAGAGGCAGGUGUCGUCAGUUGUCUCUGAUUGAGAAUCAUACUUAGGUAGCCUUUUUCCACCUGUUUUUCGUGGGUGUUUAUUUUCUGUCUAGUGUGUUUUGUCACCUUACAGAACUGUUUAGGUUUUGUUUCUUUCUCUUUGUUAUUUUGUUUAGUGUUCUGAGUUUAAAUAAAUAUCAUCAUGAACACAUACCACGCUGCGCUUUGGUCCUCACCUCAUUCCAACGACAAUCGUUACAAACUGCCUGUAGCUCAUGCC